rnacentral:rRNA from 1 species
CAGUAGCCGCGGGAAUACGAAGGGGGCUAGCGUUGUUCGGAUUUACUGGGCGUAAAGGGCGCGUAGGCGGACUGAUAAGUCAGGGGUGAAAUCCCAAGGCUCAACCUUGGAACUGCCUUUGAUACUGUUUGUCUUGAGUUCGAGAGAGGUAAGUGGAACUGCGAGUGUAGAGGUGAAAUUCGUAGAUAUUCGCAAGAACACCAGUAGCGAAGGCGGCUUACUGGCUCGAUACUGACGCUGAGGCGCGAAAGCGUGGGGAGCAAACAGGAUUAGAUACCCGCGUAGUCCCUGUCUCUUAUAA